rnacentral:rRNA from 1 species
AGGACGAACGCUGGCGGCGUGCUUAACACAUGCAAGUCGAGCGGAAAGGCCCUUCGGGGUACUCGAGCGGCGAACGGGUGAGUAACACGUGGGCAACCUGCCCUUAGCUCUGGGAUAGCUCCGGGAAACCGGAAUUAAUACCGGAUAUGACCUAGGCCGACAUCGGCCGUGGUGGAAAGUUUUUCGGCUAGGGAUGGACUCGCGGCCUAUCAGCUAGUUGGUGGGGUAAUGGCCUACCAAGGCGACGACGGGUAGCCGGCCUGAGAGGGCGACCGGCCACACUGGGACUGAGACACGGCCCAGACUCCUACGGGAGGCAGCAGUGGGGAAUCUUGCGCAAUGGGCGAAAGCCUGACGCAGCGACGCCGCGUGGGGGAUGAAGGCCUUCGGGUUGUAAACCCCGUUUCAGCAGGGACGAAGCGAAAGUGACGGUACCUGCAGAAGAAGCGCCGGCUAACUACGCGCCAGCAGCCGC